rnacentral:lncRNA from 1 species
GAGACCAGGUCAGGGCUCCACGAUCAGCUUCCUGGCUGGUCUCCCUUGGGAGGUGAUCAGGUCAGCGUGCAAAGCAGUGCUCCACUCUUCUCAACAGCUCUCUUCAGAGCAGUUAAUUAAACACAGGAGCCAUUUUACAGCAUUAGCUGCAAUUGUCUCUAGCCUCUGCUUUGUUCCUGGGCACUUGUAACCCAUCGACCUGCAGCAGGUGCCUGGUGCUCUUGGAGUCCCUCUGCAAAGGAGUCACUUCAAGCCCAUCUAAGCAGAUUACAGUACUGGGGGAGUUAAUGCUGAUACUUAAGUGCUUCCUAUCGAUUUUGUGUAGUCUCUUGGCUCUCUGCCAGUGUUCAUAGGCCUGGAGUGGGUUUAUGCUAGGAGACAUAGAUAAAAUAACCUCCUGUGUGUAACAAGCUGGCAAUCUAAUACACAUGAUUUAUAUCAGAUAUAGAGGAAUGGCCCGACAUCCUCAGAGUGUACCAUGUGGGUGCAUCCAGAUCUCUACAAAGAAAGAAGCUGGAAGGAUGAAGGCAGGAACUGGGCCUGUUCCCUAGACCAGCAACAUGAUGCAGAGCCGCUUUGGAUGAUUUCCUCAUUGUCCUUUGGUUGAUUCGCCUAUCCUUUAGGGUUUUUAAAACCAGCAAAAAUCCAUCUGCUCAUGCUGGGAUGCUCCAUGUGACACCAACACAGUGAUCAAAAGCAGCAGUUCUGCCUUCUGUUAGCUGCCUGUAGCGCUUUCCCAGGCUUCGUCUCUUGGUUAGCACUUGAAGGUUCAGCCCCAUGGUCCCUCAUGAAUCUAAGGGCUUUCCUGAUGGGAGUUGGAUUCAUCUGGGCCUCUGUAUGGACCCCUGUCCACCUAGUUUCAAUAGUUGUCUGACUGAGGAGUAAGAAUUGGGCUGGAAGAGCGAGGGCAGUGAUGUGCAGCUGAUCUGCAAGGAAGCCAGCCCUGCGGACUAUGCUUGGGAACACCAGCAAGUGCUGGGGAGAAGGGUCUGCAGUGGUGUGGUGUCCCCUUUGGACAACCGAGUGUCCUCCCUAAGAGCAACCUCCUCUGCAGGGGUGCAGUGUUUUCAAUCUUUACUGAGGGGAAGUAGGAUGAAGAUGAGCCCUAUGGGAGGGCAACGGGGGCAAUAAAGUCUUGGCAAUCUGCCUGGCCUUCA